rnacentral:pre_miRNA from 1 species
AUUUUACUCCCUCCGUCCCGAAAUACUUGUCGGAGGAAUGGAUUAUCUAGACGUAUUUUAGUUCUACAUACAUUUAUUUUUAUGCAUUUCUCUGACGAGAAUUUCCCGACGGAGGGAGUACAUG